rnacentral:rRNA from 1 species
AUGAGUUGCCUAAAAGAAGUUCCGACACUCAGAGGUGACAACCACACUGAGUGGAGGAAGAAAGUUGAACUGGCGUUUGUUUGUGCUGAUCUUGACUGGGUUAUGGAGAAACCACAGCCGGUUAGACCCACAGAGCCAGUAAGAGAGGCUACUGAUGAUGAUGCUGCAUGGGCUAAAAAGAAAGGGGACUAUGCUCCUUUGGAGCAGUCCUACCUCAUAGAUAAUCAAAAGUGGGUCAAUGCAAAUAAAAAAUGCAUGGCCUUUAUAAAGAACACCAUUGAGAGCGCCAUUGUGGACUCCAUUGCAGAGUGCACUUCCGCAGGGGAGUUGCUCUCAAAGAUAAAGAGCCAGUUUAUUGGCUCUUCAAAGAUAUAUGCCACCCAGGUGUUAGAGCAACUGGUGACAGAAAAAUACACAGGUGGUAGUCAUGGCAUAAGAGAGCACAUCCUCAGGAUGAGCAAUAUGGCAGCAAAGCUCAAACCCAUGGAUGCGGAUCUGGAG